AUAUAAACUAAAUAUAAUAUCUCUAACACUCCCCCUCAAGCUGGAGCAUACAGAUUGUAUGGACCAAGCUUGGAAUAAAUAAACUCAAUUUGAAAUAUAUGAUUUGUCUUCAAGAGUGUGCGGCAAACAGAUGCGCAAUCACUUGUCGAUGAACAACUAAUAGCAAUUUAUGGACAGUAGUGGACAACUGCGAAAUUUCAAAUAGCACCAUGAAACUUCAAGUGGGAUGACUUUGACAAAGGAGAACAAUGACAAACUCCAAGGACUAGAUUGCCAUCAAGUAAGGAUGGGGCUUGCAUCAAAACUACAGGGACUGCCAUCAUUGACUGAUGGGGCUUGUAGUGGUUAAAAGCGACAAAACUACAGGGACUGUCAUCACUGAUUGAUGAGGCCUGUAGUGGCUAGAAGCGAUAAAAUUGCAAGGAUUGCCAUCAUUGACUAAUGGAGUCUGAAAGCCUAAAACCUGGCAGGAAACAUACUCCCCCUCACGACGAACGGCGGAAAUGACGGCGCGCCGAUGACAGAUUGUGAAAGUGGAAGAUCAUAAUGAGCUCUUAUUCAUCAAAGCACCCAAAAAAACAAAUCUGACAGAUUUGACAAAGGGUUGGUGAAAUUGUUUCAACCCAUAAUUUUAGUGUUGAAAUUUCUUGGUGUUAACCACUGACUGUCCUUGAAGACCUUUCAGAAUAGAGAAGAAGAUAGCGGAAGCAGUAGAGGUAGGACUAGGUGUUGGUGCAUCGGUGGCACAAGUGGCGGAGACGACGGCCGGAGACGGUGGCCGGAGACGGUGCCGGAGAC
rnacentral:lncRNA from 1 species